UGCAUGUUCUUGAAUAUAAAGAAAAGACGAACAGCUCAGUAACUCUUAUUUUAUUUGAUGUAUUAGGACUAUAACUAUGUUAAAUUAUAGAUAACAAUAAUACAAUAAGAAUAAGAUCUAUCAGUUAGUUGUUAAGGUAAUGGCUUAACAAGACUAUGACGGAUAACGGUAUUACUUUGUAAUAUUCCGGAGAAGGAGCCUGAGAGAUUGCUACUAAGUCUAAGGAUUGCAGCAGGGGCGAAACUUGACCUAUGAUAUGAUAUUGAGGCAGUUAUGAGUAGUAUUUUAUAAUUAUUGUAGUAUUGUAAGUAUAUACUACAAGAUAAAUCGGAGGGCAAAUCGAGUGCCAGCAGCCGCGGUAAUACUUGUUCCGAUAGUGUGUAUGAUGAUUGAUGCAGUUAAAAAGUCUGUAGUUUAUAUUUAAUAAACAUUGUGAGGUAUAUUGUAUGGUUAGGAGAGAGAUGAAAUGUGAUAACCC
rnacentral:rRNA from 1 species